AGUCACAGCGGUGGGUCCCCUAUGAGUCAGCACUGGCAGGGGCCCCAGGAGCUGGGGGCUGGGGCGAGCAGUUCCCACGCCCAAAGGAACCAGGCUGCUGGGGCAGCGGGGGAAGCCCUCCCAUCCCGGGCUAGGCUCAGAGGGGAUAGUCCGAGGACUCGGGUUUGGAGCACUGACCACCGGGCGGGGCUCCAGAAAUCCUCUCUCCUAGUCUGACCCGGUUCAGGAAUGCAGAGGCUGCCCACCCAGCCGAUGUGUUGCAGCAAUAAGGAGCUGAGCUAGACGGCCCAUCCAAGAGCGAAGAUGCGGAAAGGCCUCGCACAGAAUCCCAGCUUUCAGGCUGUGCCACCUUGGGCAAGGGUGUGCCACCCUCUGGGCCUCACUUGUCCACUUCGUUGGGCUGCUGGGCAAGAGUCCAAGGUGACUGGCAAUUAAUGAACGUAGUAUAUUCCAGAGCAACCCCCUUUCCCUUUUCAGUUUGAAGGGAGAAGGCACAGGAGGAACAAUAACCCUGACCCCACCCAAGGAGGCUCAAUUACUAUUUACCCCCAUCCUCUUCCUUGCAGCUAACCCCCCCCCCUCCGGAAAUUAUACUCCAUUUUUGUGUGUGUGUGUGUGGGGGGGGGGGGUGUUAGGUACAGAGUAAGGCUGGACCCUAGUCUGGGGUCCUGGACCCAUCAUUCUCCUAGGCUUUCUGGGCUGGCUUUCUGGGCUGAGACCUGAAGGAAGAGGGCAGUGCAAAGGGAACAGGAGCUUUUCAAGGAGAAACUGAGGCAGGACUGUGGUGAGGGGGUAGAACGGAAGAGACACAGCCAGGUGGAGCAUGACCAGGUUCCCCACAAAGGUUUAAAGCUGGGUUUAGGGGGAGGGGCUCAAAAGCUUCUUUGAUCCCCCCCCACCCCCCCACCCCCCCCAGCUGGGGGAAGGAGAUGAACAGAAUGAGAAAUCCUGUAACUCAGCCCUAGCCAAUGGGAGGCCCUGCCUGGCACCACGUCUGCUCUGAGGUGACCUCCCUUCACCAGCCUGUGGUGUAGGCAGGGCCUGUGUGUGUGUGUGUGUGUGUUGGGAAGUAUGUGGGAGAAUCUGUAUGUGGUUCCCUGAAUGGAAUGUCUGCCAGUGUAGGAACCCUGCUGUGUUUCUGUGCACCUUGUGUAUGUGAAUGUGGGCUCAGAAUAAGCGUCUCUGAUUGAUCAGGAGAGCCCCAAGUCAUGGACAAGUUUCUAGUGCGCCUCCUGUGUGUGGCCUGGGCACCGGGCCAGUGCGUGCCUACUCGAGAUGGUCCCAGGUACAUGUCCCCAAGCGUCCUUUUGUGUGUAUUAGUAAAGACCCCUGUGGACCUGA